rnacentral:rRNA from 1 species
AUUGAACGCUGGCGGCAGGCCUAACACAUGCAAGUCGAGCGGAUGAAGGGAGCUUGCUCCUGGAUUCAGCGGCGGACGGGUGAGUAAUGCCUAGGAAUCUGCCUGGUAGUGGGGGAUAACGUCCGGAAACGGGCGCUAAUACCGCAUACGUCCUGAGGGAGAAAGUGGGGGAUCUUCGGACCUCACGCUAUCAGAUGAGCCUAGGUCGGAUUAGCUAGUUGGUGGGGUAAAGGCCUACCAAGGCGACGAUCCGUAACUGGUCUGAGAGGAUGAUCAGUCACACUGGAACUGGGACACGGUCCAGACUCCUACGGGAGGCAGCAGUGGGGAAUAUUGGACAAUGGACGAAAGCCUGAUCCAGCCAUGCCGCGUGUGUGAAGAAGGUCUUCGGAUUGUAAAGCACUUUAAGUUGGGGGGAAGGGCAGUAAGUUAAUACCUUGCUGUUUUGACGUUACCAACAGAAUAAGCACCGGCUAACUUCGUG